UACGUAGGUGGCAAGCGUUGUCCGGAAUUAUUGGGCGUAAAGCGCGCGCAGGCGGUUAUGUAAGUCUGAUGUUAAAGACAGGGGCUCAACCUCGGUUCGCAUUGGAAACUGUGUAACUUGAGUGCAGAAGAGGAAAGUGGUAUUCCACGUGUAGCGGUGAAAUGCGUAGAUAUGUGGAGGAACACCAGUGGCGAAGGCGACUUUCUGGUCUGUAACUGACGCUGAGGUGCGAAAGCGUGGGGAGCAAACAGG
rnacentral:rRNA from 1 species